ACUUGGUAGAACACGUAGUAAG
rnacentral:miRNA from 1 species